UCUCAAUCUUCGCUAUUGCGCACCCCCGACCCCGCCUUGGUAGCAGCGCCCACUUCGAAACGGGCGUAAAUCGCAAUAUUUUAAUUUCGCCAUA